rnacentral:rRNA from 1 species
GGACGAACGCUGGCGGCGUGCCUAAUACAUGCAAGUCGAACGAACUCUGGUAUUGAUUGGUGCUUGCAUCAUGAUUUACAUUUGAGUGAGUGGCGAACUGGUGAGUAACACGUGGGAAACCUGCCCAGAAGCGGGGGAUAACACCUGGAAACAGAUGCUAAUACCGCAUAACAACUUGGACCGCAUGGUCCGAGUUUGAAAGAUGGCUUCGGCUAUCACUUUUGGAUGGUCCCGCGGCGUAUUAGCUAGAUGGUGGGGUAACGGCUCACCAUGGCAAUGAUACGUAGCCGACCUGAGAGGGUAAUCGGCCACAUUGGGACUGAGACACGGCCCAAACUCCUACGGGAGGCAGCAGUAGGGAAUCUUCCACAAUGGACGAAAGUCUGAUGGAGCAACGCCGCGUGAGUGAAGAAGGGUUUCGGCUCGUAAAACUCUGUUGUUAAAGAAGAACAUAUCUGAGAGUAACUGUUCAGGUAUUGACGGUAUUUAACCAGAAAGCCACGGCUAACUACGUGCCAGCAGCCGCGGUAAUACGUAGGUGGCAAGCGUUGUCCGGAUUUAUUGGGCGUAAAGCGAGCGCAGGCGGUUUUUUAAGUCUGAUGUGAAAGCCUUCGGCUCAACCGAAGAAGUGCAUCGGAAACUGGGAAACUUGAGUGCAGAAGAGGACAGUGGAACUCCAUGUGUAGCGGUGAAAUGCGUAGAUAUAUGGAAGAACACCAGUGGCGAAAGGCGGCUGUCUGGUCUGUAACUGACGCUGAGGCUCGAAAGUAUGGGUAGCAAACAGGAUUAGAUACCCUGGUAGUCCAUACCGUAAACGAUGAAUGCUAAGUGUUGGAGGGUUUCCGCCCUUCAGUGCUGCAGCUAACGCAUUAAGCAUUCCGCCUGGGGAGUACGGCCGCAAGGCUGAAACUCAAAGGAAUUGACGGGGGCCCGCACAAGCGGUGGAGCAUGUGGUUUAAUUCGAAGCUACGCGAAGAACCUUACCAGGUCUUGACAUACUAUGCAAAUCUAAGAGAUUAGACGUUCCCUUCGGGGACAUGGAUACAGGUGGUGCAUGGUUGUCGUCAGCUCGUGUCGUGAGAUGUUGGGUUAAGUCCCGCAACGAGCGCAACCCUUAUUAUCAGUUGCCAGCAUUAAGUUGGGCACUCUGGUGAGACUGCCGGUGACAAACCGGAGGAAGGUGGGGAUGACGUCAAAUCAUCAUGCCCCUUAUGACCUGGGCUACACACGUGCUACAAUGGAUGGUACAACGAGUUGCGAACUCGCGAGAGUAAGCUAAUCUCUUAAAGCCAUUCUCAGUUCGGAUUGUAGGCUGCAACUCGCCUACAUGAAGUCGGAAUCGCUAGUAAUCGCGGAUCAGCAUGCCGCGGUGAAUACGUUCCCGGGCCUUG